rnacentral:rRNA from 1 species
AGGUCGGAGGUGUACGCACAGUAAUGUGUUCAGCUGACCGAUACUAAUAGACCGAGGGCUUGAACUU